rnacentral:rRNA from 1 species
UCAAGUGAAGAAGCGCAUACGGUGGAUGCCUUGGCAGUCAGAGGCGAUGAAAGACGUGGUAGCCUGCGAAAAGCUUCGGGGAGUCGGCAAACAGACUUUGAUCCGGAGAUCUCUGAAUGGGGGAACCCACCUAGGAUAACCUAGGUAUCUUGUACUGAAUCCAUAGGUGCAAGAGGCGAACCAGGGGAACUGAAACAUCUAAGUACCCUGAGGAAAAGAAAUCAACCGAGAUUCCCUUAGUAGUGGCGAGCGAACGGGGAUUAGCCCUUAAGCUUCAUUGAUUUUAGCGGAACGCUCUGGAAAGUGCGGCCAUAGUGGGUGAUAGCCCCGUACGCGAAAGGAUCUUUGAAGUGAAAUCGAGUAGGACGGAGCACGAGAAACUUUGUCUGAACAUGGGGGGACCAUCCUCCAAGGCUAAAUACUACUGACUGACCGAUAGUGAACCAGUACCGUGAGGGAAAGGCGAAAAGAACCCCGGAGAGGGGAGUGAAAUAGAACCUGAAACCGUAUGCGUACAAGCAGUGGGAGCCUACUUGUUAGGUGACUGCGUACCUUUUGUAUAAUGGGUCAGCGACUUAUAUUCAGUGGCAAGCUUAACCGUAUAGGGUAGGCGUAGCGAAAGCGAGUCUUAAUAGGGCGUUUAGUCGCUGGGUAUAGACCCGAAACCGGGCGAUCUAUCCAUGAGCAGGUUGAAGGUUAGGUAACACUGACUGGAGGACCGAACCCACUCCCGUUGAAAAGGUAGGGGAUGACUUGUGGAUCGGAGUGAAAGGCUAAUCAAGCUCGGAGAUAGCUGGUUCUCCUCGAAAGCUAUUUAGGUAGCGCCUCAUGUAUCACUCUGGGGGGUAGAGCACUGUUUCGGCUAGGGGGUCAUCCCGACUUACCAAACCGAUGCAAACUCCGAAUACCCAGAAGUGCCGAGCAUGGGAGACACACGGCGGGUGCUAACGUCCGUCGUGAAAAGGGAAACAACCCAGACCGCCAGCUAAGGUCCCAAAGUUGUGGUUAAGUGGUAAACGAUGUGGGAAGGCUUAGACAGCUAGGAGGUUGGCUUAGAAGCAGCCAUCCUUUAAAGAAAGCGUAAUAGCUCACUAGUCGAGUCGGCCUGCGCGGAAGAUGUAACGGGGCUCAAACCACACACCGAAGCUGCGGGUGUCACGUAAGUGACGCGGUAGAGGAGCGUUCUGUAAGCCUGUGAAGGUGAGUUGAGAAGCUUGCUGGAGGUAUCAGAAGUGCGAAUGCUGACAUGAGUAACGACAAUGGGUGUGAAAAACCCCCACGCCGAAAGACCAAGGGUUCCUGCGCAACGUUAAUCGACGCAGGGUUAGUCGGUUCCUAAGGCGAGGCUGAAAAGCGUAGUCGAUGGGAAACAGGUUAAUAUUCCUGUACUUCUGGUUACUGCGAUGGAGGGACGGAGAAGGCUAGGCCAGCUUGGCGUUGGUUGUCCAAGUUUAAGGUGGUAGGCUGAAAUCUUAGGUAAAUCCGGGGUUUCAAGGCCGAGAGCUGAUGACGAGUCGUCUUUUAGAUGACGAAGUGGUUGAUGCCAUGCUUCCAAGAAAAGCUUCUAAGCUUCAGGUAACCAGGAACCGUACCCCAAACCGACACAGGUGGUCGGGUAGAGAAUACCAAGGCGCUUGAGAGAACUCGGGUGAAGGAACUAGGCAAAAUGGCACCGUAACUUCGGGAGAAGGUGCGCCGGCUAGGGUGAAGGAUUUACUCCGUAAGCUCUGGCUGGUCGAAGAUACCAGGCCGCUGCGACUGUUUAUUAAAAACACAGCACUCUGCAAACACGAAAGUGGACGUAUAGGGUGUGACGCCUGCCCGGUGCCGGAAGGUUAAUUGAUGGGGUUAGCGCAAGCGAAGCUCUUGAUCGAAGCCCCGGUAAACGGCGGCCGUAACUAUAACGGUCCUAAGGUAGCGAAAUUCCUUGUCGGGUAAGUUCCGACCUGCACGAAUGGCGUAACGAUGGCGGCGCUGUCUCCACCCGAGACUCAGUGAAAUUGAAAUCGCUGUGAAGAUGCAGUGUAUCCGCGGCUAGACGGAAAGACCCCGUGAACCUUUACUGUAGCUUUGCACUGGACUUUGAGCCUGCUUGUGUAGGAUAGGUGGGAGGCUUUGAAGCGUGGACGCCAGUUCGCGUGGAGCCAUCCUUGAAAUACCACCCUGGCAUGCUUGAGGUUCUAACUCUGGUCCGU